rnacentral:rRNA from 1 species
AACGCGAAGAACCUUACCUGGGCUCGAAAUGCAGAGGGCGAUAUCAGAAAUGGUAUUUUCCGCAAGGACUUCUGUAUAGGUGCUGCAUGGCUGUCGUCAGCUCGUGCCGUGAGGUGUUGGGUUAAGUCCCGCAACGAGCGCAACCCUUGUCAUUAGUUGCCAGCACGUUAUGGUGGGGACUCUAAUGAGACUGCCUAGGUUAACUAGGAGGAAGGUGAGGAUGACGUCAAGUCCGCAUGGCCUUUAUGUCCAGGGCUACACACGUGCUACAAUGGUCGGUACAGAGGGCAGCAAAGCCGCAAGGUGAAGCAAAUCCCACAAAGCCGAUCUCAGUUCAGAUUGUGGUCUGCAACUCGACCACAUGAAGUCGGAAUUGCUAGUAAUGGCGUGUCAGCAAUAGCGCCGUGAAUACGUUCCCGGGCCUUGUA